rnacentral:lncRNA from 1 species
UGAGUUCCCACUAUGCACUACGAGCUGGUGGGCAGACGUCUCAACAUGUAGUUGUGGGAUUUUUGACCCUGCAGAGGUCAUGACCAAGGCAGAUCUUCACCACAGAUCAACCAUUCCCAGCCCUCUGAAGCUCUGGAACUUUCGCCUUGGACACAUCACCCCGCCUGUACACAGUAAGAAAGUCAACCUCCCAAGAAUGGUCCCAGCACACCUUUUUGAGCCAGUGUCCCGAUGUAGGUGAAAAGGCUGCCUUUGGGCCCAACAUCUACAGCAGAAAGAAGGAAGCCAUGUUGUACAGUUU